AAACAUUCCAUUGUGGUUGUCUAUUGG
rnacentral:sRNA from 1 species